GCCAGGUGCGAUGGCGCAUACCUGGAAUCCCAGCAAUUCAGGAGGCUGAGGCAGGAGGAUCGCAGGUUGGAGGCCAGCCUCAGCAACUUAUGGAGGCCCUCAGCAACUCAGCGAGACCCUGUCUCUA
rnacentral:sRNA from 1 species